rnacentral:snoRNA from 1 species
GCUGCUUCAUUAUAUUCUUCUAGGAGCCUAUGGAUAUGUCCUGUUUUAUGGGUCCUUAAGCAAGUGAAGCAAGAAAUAAUGGUUCCCCUCGCUAUCCAGUGCAGGAUGUUUUCUGUAUUUGGACGUUGGGGUACUACAUUG